GCCCAGAUGGCGGAAUUGGUAGACGCACCGUCUUCAGGUGGCGGCGCCCGCAAGGGCGUGGAGGUUCGAGUCCUCUUCUGGGCA
rnacentral:tRNA from 1 species